CAGUCGCCACGGUAAAACGUAGGUGGCAAGCGUUGUCCGGAAUUAUUGGGCGUAAAGGGCUCGCAGGCGGUUUCUUAAGUCUGAUGUGAAAGCCCCCGGCUCAACCGGGGAGGGUCAUUGGAAACUGGGAAACUUGAGUGCAGAAGAGGAGAGUGGAAUUCCACGUGUAGCGGUGAAAUGCGUAGAGAUGUGGAGGAACACCAGUGGCGAAGGCGACUCUCUGGUCUGUAACUGACGCUGAGGAGCGAAAGCGUGGGGAGCGAACAGGAUUAGAUACCCGCGUAGUCCCUGUCUCUUAUAA
rnacentral:rRNA from 1 species